rnacentral:ncRNA from 1 species
CCACGGCCAGGGUGGUUUCCGCAAGGGAUAGGCCUGGAUGCUCCAGCCGGAGGUGAGCAUAUAAAAAACACCGGCAGCC